AUUGAACGCUGGCGGAAUGCUUUACACAUGCAAGUCGAACGGCAGCACGGGGCAACCUGGUGGCGAGUGGCGAACGGGUGAGUAAUACAUCGGAACGUGCCCAAUCGUGGGGGAUAACGUAGCGAAAGUUACGCUAAUACCGCAUACGAUCUACGGAUGAAAGCGGGGGAUCGCAAGACCUCGCGCGAAUGGAGCGGCCGAUGUCAGAUUAGGUAGUUGGUGGGGUAAAGGCUCACCAAGCCAAUGAUCUGUAGCUGGUCUGAGAGGACGACCAGCCACACUGGAACUGAGACACGGUCCAGGACUCCUACGGGAGGCAGCAGUGGGGAAUUUU
rnacentral:rRNA from 1 species